GCUGGAAUUUCUGAACAGCUUUGUUACUCCACAGUUUUGAGGCGACUUUUCGACGUUGAGCGAAAAAGGGAAUUGAUACACACUCCAUAGGAGCUUACACACAUAAAGGCGAAAGUUCUUGCAUUGUAGGUGAACA